rnacentral:rRNA from 1 species
GGCGGACGGGUGAGUAAUAUAUAGAUAACGUGCCUCUUAGUCUGGGAUAGCCAUUGGAAACGAUGAUUAAUACUAGAUACUCCUUCUUAUCACAUGAUAAGUCGGGAAAGUUUUUUCGCUAAGAGAUCGGUCUAUAUCGCAUCAGUUAGUUGGUGGGGUAACGGCCUACCAAGACAAUGACGCGUAGCGGGUUUGAGAGGAUGAUCCGCCACACUGGUACUGAGACACGGACCAGACUCCUACGGGAGGCAGCAGUGAGGAAUAUUGCACAAUGGGGGAAACCCUGAUGCAGCAACGCCGCGUGGAGGAUGACGCAUUUCGGUGUGUAAACUCCUUUUAUGAGUCAAGAAAAUGACGGUAGCUCAUGAAUAAGCAGCGGCUAACUCCGUGCCAGCAGCCGCGGUAAUACGGAGGGUGCAAGCGUUACUCGGAAUCACUGGGCGUAAAGGACGCGUAGGCGGGUUAUCAAGUCAGGUGUGAAAUCCUAUGGCUCAACCAUAGAACUGCACUUGAAACUGGUAACCUAGAGUAUGGGAGGGGCAGAUGGAAUUAGUAGUGUAGGGGUAAAAUCCGUAGAUAUUACUAGGAAUACCGAAAGCGAAGGCGAUCUGCUGGAACAUUACUGACGCUAAGGCGUGAAAGCGUGGGGAGCAAACGGGAUUAGAUACCCCGGUAGUCCACGCCCUAAACGAUGAACACUAGUCGUCGGGGAGCUAGUCUCUUCGGUGAUGCACUUAACAGAUUAAGUG